CGGACGGGUGAGUAACGCGUGGGUAACCUGCCUUGUACUGGGGGACAACAGUUAGAAAUGACUGCUAAUACCGCAUAAGUGCACAGUAUCGCAUGAUACAGUGUGAAAAACUCCGGUGGUACAAGAUGGACCCGCGUCUGAUUAGCUAGUUGGUAAGGUAACGGCUUACCAAGGCGACGAUCAGUAGCCGACCUGAGAGGGUGACCGGCCACAUUGGGACUGAGACACGGCCCAA
rnacentral:rRNA from 1 species